GGAGCCGUAGCGAAAGCGAGUUUUAACUGAGCGUUCAGUUACUUGACGUAGACCCGAAACCGGGCGACCUACCCCUGAGCAGGAUGAAGCGAAAGUAAAAUUUCGUGGAGGUCCGAACCCACGAGCGUUGAAAAGCUCGGGGAUGACUUGUGGGUAGCGGUGAAAUUCCAAUCGAGCCCGGAGAUAGCUGGUUCUCCCCGAAAUAGCUUUAGGGCUAGCCUCAAGGUGAGAGAUACGGAGGUAGAGCACUGAAUGUCCUAGGGGGUAUUGCACCUACCGAAGACUAUCAAACUCCGAAUGCCGUCAUCUUAUACUUGGGAGUCAGACUGUGGGUGAUAAGAUUCAUAGUCGAAAGGGCAACAGCCCAGAUCGUCAGCUAAGGUCCCUAAAUGUAAGUUAAGUGGUAAAGGAUGUGGGAUUGCACAGACAACCAGGAUGUUGGCUUAGAAGCAGCCACUCAUUCAAAGAGUGCGUAAUAGCUCACUGGUCGAGUGAUCCUGCGCCGAAGAUUUCCGGGGCUAAAACUUACUACCGAAGCUACGGCAUCAGUAAUGAUGGGUAGGGGAGCUUCCCAUA
rnacentral:rRNA from 1 species